rnacentral:rRNA from 1 species
UACGAAGGGGACUAGCGUUGUUCGGAAUUACUGGGCGUAAAGCGCACGUAGGCGGAUUUGUAAGUCAGGGGUGAAAUCCCGAGGCUCAACCUCGGAACUGCCUUUGAUACUGCAAAUCUCGAGUCCGGAAGAGGUGAGUGGAAUUCCUAGUGUAGAGGUGAAAUUCGUAGAUAUUAGGAGGAACACCGGUGGCGAAGGCGGGUCUCUGGGCAACAACUGACGCUGAGGAGCGAAAGCGUGGGGAGCAAACAGG